UCGUAUCACUUUGAGAAUUCCUGAUCUCAUCUGAUCUCUGAAGCUAAGCGGGGUUGGGCCUGGUUAGCACUUGGAUGGGAGACCAGGGGGAAUAGGAAUGGGAACGGU
rnacentral:rRNA from 1 species